rnacentral:rRNA from 1 species
GACAGAGGGUGCAAACGUUGUUCGGAAUUACUGGGCGUAAAGCGAGUGUAGGUGGCCGCGUAAGUCGGAUGUGAAAUCCCCGGGCUCAACCUGGGAAUUGCAUUCGAUACUGGAUAGCUAGAGUUCGGCAGAGGGAAGUGGAAUUUCGGGUGUAGCGGUGAAAUGCGUAGAUAUCCGAAGGAACAUCAGUGGCGAAAGCGACUUUCUGGACAGAUACUGACACUGAGGCACGAAAGCGUGGGGAGCAAACAGG